GCUCCUCACUCCGACCCCGUCGAUCCCGCUCGCCCGAGCUCGCCGGAGCGCCGCCAGCACCGCCACCGAGCCGCUGCUCACGCCGCGUCCCCACCUUCGGCUGUUCCCGACCCCGACCGAGCACACCCCCAGGUAGCCCUCGCUUCCCCCAUGCUCCUCCACCCCUCCAUCGUUGCCGGCGGGCCACCACCUCACCGGAUUUUGGCCCGGACCGCCGCUGACCUCCAUAGGGACCUCGUGCAGCAAUAGAAAGAAGUGCAGGGGCCUUUUUGCAAAGUCCAUGACUCAGUGACUGAACCGUCGGAGAAUGAACCCGUUGAGCCUGCCGAGUUCAUCGAGCCUGAACCCGGAGUCCCGAUCGUGGUCGAGCUGGAAGUUAACCAAGGCAAGCAGCUAAGCAUGAAUCCUUGCUCCUAUUUAACCUGAUUUAAUUAGUUAUCUCACCGGGUAAUGUUGGGUUAUAUAUAGUAUGUAUGUAUUGUAUUCUUGUACCUAUCUGCGUGCAUUAUCCUUUCUUGA